UAUCGUUCCCAGGGGUGCCCGCGCCAAGGCGGGCUGAGAUGGUCGUGACAGCCGGCCGAACCCUUCGAACCUGACCCGGGUCGUGCCGGCGUAGGGAAGGAACCAGUGCCGCGC
rnacentral:ncRNA from 1 species